rnacentral:lncRNA from 1 species
GGGAGAAGGCAGUUGAAGCACUGGUGUCGGGGAGCUGCCGUCAAGCCAGAGCCGCGGAGAAGGAGUUCGCGAAAGCGGCAGUUGGCACCUCUUCCCUCCGCGCUCCCGGCCCCAGCUGAGCGGCACCGCGGCUAGUCUGAGGCGCUCUCCGCGUACUUCCCCAGCCGCGCCGCGAGAUGGUCCUGCGCCCCCGAAGCCCCGCGCCGCCGCCGCCCUCGCGCUGAGGAGGAGUUGAAGGAAAAGAAGAAGAAAGUUACACAAGAAAAGAUAUACAGAAGAGGAGGAGGCAGUGUGGUCCUGGAGUCAGAGAUUGGAGUGAUGUGGCCACAGAGCCAAGCAAAGUUCCUGAUCACCAGACUCUGGAAGAGAGGCAAAAAAUAGAUUCUUUCAUACAGCCUUAGAGGAGAACACGGCCCUGCUGGGUUUAGGAUCUCUAACCUCCAGAACUGUGAGAGAAUAAAUGUCUAAUGUCUUAAGCCACUCAGCAUGUGAUAAUUUGUUAUUCCAUAAGUAAAAACUGUUCAUUAAACCAGAGAUCUGUGUUAUCUUUGCUUUAUAUCAUACAUCUUGACUAUCAGAGACA